GGCGCGGGCGGUCUGGUAAGUCGGAUGUAAAAUCUCCUGGCUUAACUGGGAGGGACCAUCCGAUACUGCCGGGCUGGAGUGCAGCAGGAGGAGGUGGAAUUCCCGGUGUAGUGGUGAAAUGCGUAGAUAUCGGGAGGAACACCAGUGGCGAAGGCGGCCUCCUAGGCUGUUACUGACGCUGAGGCCCGAAAGCGUGGGGAGCGAACAGGAUCAGAUACCCUGGUAGUCCACGCCGUAAACUAUGGACACUAGGUAUGGGGAGUAUCGACCCUCUCCGUGCCGAAGCUAACGCUUUAAGUGUCCCGCCUGGGAAGUACGGUCGCAAGACUAAA
rnacentral:rRNA from 1 species